rnacentral:tRNA from 1 species
GCGGAUAUGAUGUAAUGGUAGCAUAUCAGAUUCCCAAUCUGAUUGUGAGGGUUCAAAUCCCUUUAUUCGCUCCA